rnacentral:rRNA from 1 species
UGCCAGCAGCCGCGGUAACACGGGGGGCGCAAGCGUUAUUCGGAAUUAUUGGGCGUAGAGGGCGCGCAGGCGGCUUUUUAAGUCAGAUGUGAAAGUCCACGGCUCAACCGUGGAAGUGCAUUUGAAACUGGAAAGCUUGAGUAUCAGAGGGGAUGGUGGAAUUCCCGGUGUAGAGGUGAAAUUCGUAGAUAUCGGGAGGAAUACCGGUGGCGAAGGCGACCAUCUGGCUGAGUACUGACGCUGAGGUGCGAAAGCGUGGGGAGCAAACAGGAUUAGAUA